rnacentral:tRNA from 1 species
GGAGGCGUCGCAUAGCUGGUUGAGUGCACCGGUUUCGAAAACCGGAAUGGUCGUAAGGCCAUCGGAGGUUCGAACCCUCCCGCCUCCGCCA